GAGCGUACACAGACAGAACGAAACAAAGAUUUGUUUGAAGGGUCGGUCAGAGAGGUCGGUCAGAGAAGAUAGCAUACACAGAUAGAUACAGAGUAUAUACCAAAUGGCACCCUAUUCCCUAUAUAGUGCACUACGAAAGUAAUGCACUAUGUAGGGAAUAGGGUGCCAUUUGGGAAGCAGACAUAACCUAAACACAUCGCUGUAAGGACUGUAAAGUCAAACACCACAUAGAGCGUGGAGGGCAGGUAGGUUUAAGGUUUAAGACAGACGCAGGUUAAAGAGAGUAACUACAGUAUAGUAAAUUAAAGCACUGUGGUGUUGGACCAGAGUGCCGUUGGAUUAGAGGAUUUAUUUCAUGUUUUUAUUUUUCAAUACUGCAAAAAAACAUCAACACGCAGUUGAGUAUAGUGAGCUAUAGUAUAGUGACCUUCCUCAUUGCUGUGCGCCUCCCUCCUCACUGUUACAACAUUUGAGAGGUGCACGGCGAUGCUUUACGGAGCUUGAUUUGGCCUCUGCGUGCCUCUGGAGGCUAUGUGAUCACACCCUCCAUACGAAGCCUCCAACCACAUUUUCAGAUCAAGCCUAAAUUGGCUCUGACUUCUGCAGAGGCCAUAUCACUGUCAACGCUGCAUGGUCAAUGCAGACAUCAGACUGACCAUGCAACGCCUUUAAGAUAGAUGUGUGGAGGUGGGCUGGUGAAGGAGGCAACAGAUGAUAAUGAAUCCAUCCAUCCAAGAGAAGGAGAGAGGCAGGUCAAAAUGGGUUGUCCACUGCAUGCAUCAAAGAACCUAUGUUAGGUAUUAUCCUUUCUAUGCCGAAUUUAAAUGUUCCUCCAACUUUACUGCUGUGUGUGUUGAAAUGGCUGUUCAGACUGUUGAAUGACAGACGGUAGGUACGUUGACCUCAGAGCCCCAGAAGACCCUGUGCUCUGCUGGAGGCCCUGGGGGAAUACUUUCCAUUCAACCCAUUCUCGCCUUGUGAUGAAAAUGUCCCUUAUGGUAAGAUCCUCUAUUAUCUCUACUGUCUGUGUCUCUUUGAUGCCAGGCCCCUAUACCCCGCUGGGUGUAAUAUUGUUGUGUUGGGGGCCUCUGCCUCUUGCUGUGUUUGGAUCACAGGUGGUAGGAAAGGUAGAGAGCAGUGGAGGCUGGUGGGCCCAUCCUCCGAUUUAAAGUGAUACCAGCCACCACUGGUAGAGAAAGGGUGCUAUGACACAGUAAAAUAUAAAUUACAUGAAGUAUUUACCUACCUUAAUAGCACAAAUCUAACAUUGGAAAAACAAUGGCAUCCAUGUCCCACAGUCGACCAUCACAAGCAGCAUAAGCACACCAAGGAUGUCGUAGCAUCUAGUGGCACCAUUUUUGUAGUUCUUUGUCAGAGUCCUUUACUUUUGCUGAGUGAGUUUUUAAGCUGGGACAAACCCAGCACAUACUUUCAGUCAAUACACAGAGAGAAGGCCCCCUCCCUCAUAGCAACACAGCCAUGCCAACCACAUCCUUGUGUAGGGUAAUACUAUCAAUCAAAGGGGAAAGGGGGAUACCUAGUCAGUUGCACAACUGAAUGCAUUCAACCAAAAUGUGCCUUCUGCAUUUAACCCCUCUGAAUCAGAAAGGUGUGAGGGGCUGCCUUAUUCGACAUCCACGUCUUCGGCGCCCGGGGAGCAGUUGUUGUGGGGGUUAACUGCCUUGCUCAAGGGCAGAACGGCAGAUUUUUUCCAUCUUGUCAGCUCAGAAAUUCAAUUCGAACAAACAACCUUUUGGUUACUGCCCCAACGCUCUAACCACUAGGUGACCUGCUGCCCAACUAAUCAAUUGGGGCAGUUUGGGGC
ensembl:lncRNA